GACGAACGCUGGCGGCGUGCCUAAUACAUGCAAGUUGAGCGCUGAAGGCUGGUACUUGUACCAACUGGAUGAGCAGCGAACGGGUGAGUAACGCGUGUGGAAUCUGCCUUUGAGCGGGGGACAACAUUUGGAAACGAAUGCUAAUACCGCAUAAAAACUUUAAACACAAGGUUUAAGUUUGAAAGAUGCAAUUGCAUCACUCAAAGAUGAUCCCGCGUUGUAUUAGCUAGUUGGUGAGGUAAAGGCUCACCAAGGCGAUGACGGGGAGCCGACCUGAGAGGGGGACCGGCCACAUGGGGAGGGAGAUACGGCCCAGAGUGCGACGGGAGGGAGGAGUGGGGAAUAGUGCACAAUGGGCGGAAGGCGGAAGGAGCAACGCCGCGUGAGGGAUGACGGAUGUGGGGUGGGAAACCGCUUUCGACUGGGAAGAAGCGUGAGUGACGGUAAUGGGGAAAGAAGCACCGGCUAACUACGUG
rnacentral:rRNA from 1 species